ensembl:lncRNA
GUUUGAGGCAAAAACUGAGGAAGUGCUUCUGGCCUACUUCCGUCUUUUUUCUUUAUCUCAAAGGAAGUUCUGGUUGUGGCACCUCCUACGCCCCACCUUGUGUAGGGAAGUGGGAUCGCAAAAUGAUUUUCAAAGUCCAGAGGGACUUCUCAUCUCCUCUGCUUGGGGAAGGUUACUGGGCGAAGGAGGCCUCCUUUGAAACGCGACCCUCAGCAGAGUGUUCGAUCGAGCUCUGUCAAAGACAGUGCCCUCUGCACCGGAGGCCAGGACUCCACCUUGUUUUUUGUUCGUCAGCCUUGUCGCACCCUUUUCUGAACCACUCUUGCAGUUAGGUCAGAUUGAGGGGCCUACAGCACAUAAGACUUUCAGCCCCCAACCCAUUCUAACCACAAGUCUUGAACUCGAUUCCUGACACACAGAAAUAGAUGAUAUGCUCCUGGUGUCCAGUGGAGUCCUGUCCUACAUUCUGCAGUGGCUUCUGGAAUUAUCUGUUUCACAAACCCAAUUUCUCUCUCUUUAUGAAGUGGCUGCUCAGAGUUCUGAAUGCACAUGUUUCAAGCCCAGCCCUAUGCAGAGAUGAAAACUGAAGACCUUCAGUUCUACUAUAAAAUUGCCAGACGGAUGGACAGUGAUGGCGGAACUCUUACUACUUAUACCUCUUGUACAUCACUACCACAUGGUGUAUCAAACAUGGAGAGAAUAUACUCUAUCUUGAUUGAGGUGGUGGUUGCAUCUUCUGUGGUUUC